UACAGAGGUCCCAAGCGUUGUUCGGAUUCAUUGGGCGUAAAGGGUGGCGUAGGCGGCGCGGUAAGUCGGGUGUGAAAUCUCGGAGCUUAACUCCGAAACUGCAUUCGAUACUGCCGUGCUUGAGGACUGGAGAGGAGACUGGAAUUUACGGUGUAGCGGUGAAAUGCGUAGAUAUCGUAAGGAAGACCAGUGGCGAAGGCGGCUCACUGGCCCGGUACUGACGCUGAGGUGCGAAAGCGUGGGGAGCAAACAGG
rnacentral:rRNA from 1 species